UACGGGGGGGGCAAGCGUUGUUCGGAAUUACUGGGCGGAAAGGGCUCGUAGGCGGCCAACUAAGUCGGAUGUGAAAUCCCCAGGCUCAACCUGGGAACUGCACCCGAUACUGGAUGGCUUGAAUUCGGGAGAGGGAUGCAGAAUUCCAGGUGUAGCGGUGAAAUGCGUAGAUAUCUGGAGGAAUACCGGUGGCGAAGGCGGCAUCCUGGACCGACAUUGACGCUGAUGAGCGAAAGCUAGGGGAGCAAACGGG
rnacentral:rRNA from 1 species